rnacentral:rRNA from 1 species
AAUCAACGCUGGGCGGGCGUGCCUCAGACAUGCAAGUCGUAACGAUUAAAGCUCUCUUCGGGAGAGUGUAUAGAGUGGCGCACGGGGUGAGUAACACGUAAGUAAUCUACCCUCGAGUGGGGAAUAACAACCGGAACGGUUGCUAAUACCGCAUAAUGCAGCGGCACCGCAAGGUGACAGUUGUUAAAGAUUUAUCGCUUGAGGAGGAGCUUGCGGCAGAUUAGCUAGUUGGUAGGGUAACGGCUUACCAAGGCUACGAUCUGUAACCGGUCUAAGAGGACGGGUCGGGUCACACUGACACUGAAUAACGGGUCAGACUCCGUACGGGA